rnacentral:rRNA from 1 species
GACGAACGCUGGCGGCGUGCUUAACACAUGCAAGUCGAACGGAAAGGCCCUGCUUUUGUGGGGUGCUCGAGUGGCGAACGGGUGAGUAACACGUGAGUAACCUGCCCUUGACUUUGGGAUAACUUCAGGAAACUGGGGCUAAUACCGGAUAGGAGCUCCUGCUGCAUUGUGGGGGUUGGAAAGUUUCGGCGGUUGGGGAUGGACUCGCGGCUUAUCAGCUUGUUGGUGGGGUAGUGGCUUACCAAGGCUUUGACGGGUAGCCGGCCUGAGAGGGUGACCGGGCAAAUGGGGACUGAGAUACGGCACAGACUCCUACGGGAGACAGCAGUAGGGAAUAUUGCACAAUGGGCGGAAGCCUGAUGCAGCAACGCCGCGUGCGGGAUGACGGCCUGCGGGUUGUAAACCGCUUUCGCCUGUGACGAAGCGUGAGUGACGGUAAUGGGUAAAGAAGCACCGGCUAACUACGUG